rnacentral:rRNA from 1 species
UACGUAGGGAGCAAGCGUUGUCCGGAAUCAUUGGGCGUAAAGCGCGCGUAGGUGGCUUCGUAAGUCCGUUGUGAAAGUCAAAGGCUCAACCUUUGAAUGCCGAUGGAUACUGCGGAGCUAGAGUACGGAAGAGGCGAGUGGAAUUCCUGGUGUAGCGGUGGAAUGCGCAGAUAUCAGGAGGAACACCAAUAGCGAAGGCAGCUCGCUGGGACGUGACUGACGCUGAGACGCGAAAGCGUGGGGAGCAAACAGG